rnacentral:lncRNA from 1 species
UUUUAUAGCUGCUGGGAGGUAAAACUCUAUAUUUAUAAAUACUUUUCUGGGUUGCGAUUGGAGAGCUCAGAAGCAAAUUAAUGAUAGUGUAGUGCACCUAUCAUAGAUGAAUUCACAAGCAUGUUUUCCAGGCGCUCUACUGAUUGUUUGCGUAUUACUUUCACAUGUUUUCAUUUUCAUUCAUCCAUUUAGAAGUGUAACAAUAUUUGCCAUUAGUAGACCUAGAUGUUAUGAUCAUGACAUUUCCUAUAAUAAUAACAGUCCAAAUGGUUUGGAUAGAAAAGAAGAGAAAGAGAUGGGUCAAUCUACUGUGCCAUCAACGGGUUGGAAUUAGAAUUGACCAUUGAUGGUUUGUGAAUAAUGUUGAUUGAUAUGGCUGCAUUAUUAAUAUUCAGUGGUUGCAACUAUAGUAAUCUUGCUCUGCCUUUGGACGCAGGUCGUGAACAAGUGUUACUGUCCUGAUUUUGAUUAACAAUUUUGGUUCGAGGAAGGUGGAGAAUGGAUCUUUGACUUGGUCUUUAGCAGAAGUUCUGGUUAAUGAGAUGAUGUCCUCCCUCUACAACUUACCCUCCUCCAGUUUUGUUUGUUCUUUUUUCAGUGCGAGUUGUUUAAGAGCACAUAUUUGUAAGGCAAUAAAAAGCCUGUUUUACCUAUUUUUGCCUCCAGUAUCUUGCACUACGUAUUACAGUAAUGAUUUAAGCAAUAAAAUCUCAAUCUUGUUUGUAUAGUGGCUCUUUUUUUUCUUUUUUUCCUCAAAUCAUUUGAGUUAUUUUCUUUUGAGUCCUGGAUGCUUUGUUUUUCAUGCUUCUUUUUCAGUGUUUGAAGUAAGCUUCAUCUGCUGGAUAAUGGUGGCUUUUGUCAGAACUGAAGAUUUAUAACAGGUUGCAUAUCUAAAUCAAAAUAUGACAAUACAGAAAAAUAAAGUGGCCGUUGCAUUGGAGAAUCUUUACUUGUGAUUUCUCCUAUCGGUUAUGA